GGUAGUAAUGCCCCACUCACCAGCUUAAUGAUGUUGACAGGUUGUGCUUUGUGGGUGCAAGACAAGGCCACUUCCCAGACAACCUUGCUCUCAUCAACUGCAAAUGCAACACUCCAAUGUCUUCUCUCAUCUUCCUGGGCCUGUUGUCACUGGUCUACCUCUCCACCAUGGACAUCUACCGCCUCAUUGACUACGCCAGCUUUGUAGAGAGUUAAUUCAUCCUGUGCAGUAUCGCCAUUCUGCUGUACAUGUGCUGGAAAUACCCUGACAUGGAGCGGCCCAUCAAGACCAACUCACUGUUUGGACACAGUUGCUCUUCGUAUCUGUGAAAACUGAGUGAGGAGUGACUGACUGCACCUCCUCUACCAUUACUACCAUCACUGCUGCUGCUACUGCUGCUGCUGCUGCUGCUGCUGCCCUACCACAGCUGCCAAGAAAUGCACUUGUGUGUGUGUGUGUGUGUGUGUGUGUGUGUGUGUGUGUGUGUGUCAUCAUAUCAUACAGCCUUCACAUAUUUUAUCCACUUGGUUAUGGUUCUGUGCAUCAUGGCAAAUCACACUGCUGGUAGACAAUGGAUAUCUGAAAUGUUCCCUACUUUAAUCCCCUCUGAACUGCUGUUACUGCUGCUGCUGCUGGAUCCUUGGUGAUCUGUUUGUAUUUUUGCUCAAGUGGCUUGUGUGUGUGUGUGUGUGUGUGUGUACUGAUGGACCUUGGGAGGGCAGCUGGAUGGUGUGAACUGUUGUCAGUGAUGACAACAUGCACACACACAUGUGGCAAAAGCAACACAGCAGCAGAUUUGUCAGCCUGGAUAUGCUCUUUGUAAUCUGUGAUACUUUUCAGAAGGGGAAUAUUGAAGGUUUUAUACAUUAUUUAUUAGUUAUUGUAUUUUGGUCAUAGGCUGAUUUUGCACCACUUUAGCUGAUAAUUUGAAAUUGGUUCUGAACCCAAGAAAUACUUGAAGGUGCAAUUUUCAGAUAAAUUAAAUAGUAUUCCAAUUGUACAUAGAGAUAACAGAAAGUAAGUGAGAGUAUUACAUAACUGUUUUUGGUAUUUUGAUUUUUAGGUUUUCACCAAGAGGGUUGUUAGUCCUGGUCUUUGCUUACUGCCUGUCUGGACCUCACAGUGGUGAUGGGAAGCCUCAAGCGUGUGACUGUCUGGCAGCUGUGUGGGCCAUUCUGGAUGAGUAUGUGCUGGAUAGAUGUUAACUGGCACCACAUGAGCUUAUUUGUUGGCAGAUCCAGAUGUUGGGAGUACCACAGUUGCUGAGACAAUGAGGCAGUCCUGUUAGGGAAGUUUAGUGACUGAACACUGAAGGUUGACCAAACUCCUCUUGGGCUACAGCUAUCAUUGUACUCAUAGCUCAAUGGGUAAAGAGUUGUGUACCUUGAAUGUUUUGAUGGGAAUCCUAGUGCUAUUCCCCUUAUGCCUUGCUCAGCAGGUGUCUGUGAGACCUGUGGAUGGUGGUGUUAUCACAGUCAAAAAUGUUUUAUUGUCCCACACUUUUUCCCAUUGUCUUCAACAUUUUCCCUUAGUAUCAAGUCCAAUAAUCCACAGACUCUCCUCACAAAUAUAACAGGUGACAGAUGCUAAGGAGGUGACAGGACUUCAGAUUGAGGGAAAUGCUAAACACUGGGAGUGAGUGUGGCAAAUUACAUGACCUCUGACCAGACUAGACCAACAGGAUAAAUGAACAUGGCCUAACUCCAGGCUGUGCUGUGUUGAGGCAGUCCUGGGGUGAGGUGACAGCUGGUGUGACACUCAUAGUCACUGGAGCAGCCAAGAAGCCUCACGACAAUUAUAAAUUGAUUAGCUUUGGCACAAGCCUUUGUUAUCAGCUAGGCUUGCCUCCUUCACAAUGCUCCUGUCUUCCCCUCUGGUGGUCAGCCACUGCCUGCACCUCUGCCUUGUAGGGAAUUUACCUCCUGCUCAUGAGUGACACGAUGAAGAAAAGGAAAUAAAUGUACAUCUUUUCAUCUCUGCAUGGGACAAAUGAGGGCUGUGUGUGUGUAUUUCAUAAUUUAUCUUAUUUUUUUUCUGGGGAUUUAUGGUGCUGAAAGACAAGAAAAUUCAUGCAUACAUUAUGAUCACUCAUUAUUAAUCUUUUUAUUUUAUUAUCCUUUUCAUUAUCAUCAAGACCGUGCUGGGCUUUAAUUAAUGUGUGUGUGUGUGUAAUUAUAGAUAUGUAGUUGUAUUCAUGUCCGGUGGCAAAUCAGAUAUAUUUUGCUUAUUGGUGAGAGAGAGAGAGAGAGAGAGAGUAGUUUUGGCCCAACAGUGAGUAAUGAUGAUGUGUAAAGCAUAUUCUUCUAGGAGCAAAUGAGGCAAUGUGUCCGCCAGGCAUCAACAUGUCACUUCAUUGUUACCAUGUUUUUAAGCAUGAAAUAAAUGUGCCUUUUUUACAGCUAGCUUGUUUGAUUGUCAUCAAGUGUGUGUGUGUGUGUGUGUGUCAUGCGAAUCUUUCUGGACUAGCCGUCCCAGCUAUUCUCUCUGUAGAGUUUAGAGAUCAUGAUUAUGGUUUAAAUACAAGGAAGCUACAGACUUGAGCUUCCUUGAGAUGAGUAAGUUGAGACCUGUCACGCAGCACGUUCCAUUGGCUCACGGCUGAGAGGAUGAGGAUUCGACUCCCGGGCCGAGAGGAGAGGAGCUGUGGGAUUUGUCUCCCUCCCUUGCUGGAGUGCAGACCCCCUACUAAGAUGCCUCUAUUCAUGGGGGAUCCAUCUAAAGUUGUGAUCCAAGGCAUUCUGUGUAGCAUGGUGCAGUGUGACCCACCAGGGAUCCAUGGUUUGGUGGAGGUCAAGAAUUCUACCCAUCGUCUACAUUCCUUGGUUGAGGUGGUUCCUCGUGAACAUGGCGGGUAUCGUGAAUCAUUAUUUCUGCUGUUUCUGUCGUAUGAGUUAAAAUAUUUGUCUAGCGAUGUCAAAGGAUGGCCAAACAUAAAACAAGCGGUGGUUGGUAAUAUUCAAGAACAGCAGGCGAGGAUUGAAAACCGUAGUGAACUGGUGAAAUGAGCGAAGCUAGGAGGUUGUGCACAUGUUCAUUAUAAUGUUGCUUUACCUCAGAUGAUAAAAUACCCAUCAUGGUGUAUAUAUAUUAAAACCAAUGCAGUCCAAACAUGAAUAAUCCGAAUCCAAAGUUGGAACGAAGCCGGAUUCCGGACGGACACCACGAUAGCUGUCUCGUGUGCGCACUGCGCAGUGUACUUGGUCGUGAGGAGUGACAUCAAUGCUUGUCUUUCUCGCCUGAGUCGUUGACGUGCAAGGACGUCUCGUUGUUCUUCUCCUGUGACCAGAGGUGUACUCUGUCGUUAAGGCCGUGGGUGGUGCACAUGUGCCGGACAGCCAGCUGAUGGGCGCCAGACUGUAAUGGUGAUCAGCCGGCUGCUACUGCCACCAGAGCCGGUGAGGCCAUGAACUGCUCCUCUCUGCCGCCUCCAGAUGGACCAUCUGCCCUUCGACCACAUCUGAAGAGACAACUAGUGGGCCGUGUGUGGUGAACCCGUUUUGUCUGUCAGAGCCACCCCUACAGCCACACACCACCACCACCACCACAACUAGCAGGAGAGGGCAUCCACCACCUCCUCCUCCAGCAGCUGGCCAGGGCACAGGACCAGGCUGAGCAAGGUGGUGAUGCAGAGGGUGGCCAGCUUGCCCGCCCCCUCCUGUUGGCCAGCCACAGCACAGCACACAGCUGCAGUCUGUUGCGGCCAGGCUACUGAGGCACAAGUCUAUGCACGCGUCCGGGACAUGAAGGUGACGAGAAC